AAAUAAUUUACAAUGGAUUUUACUUUGAGGUUAGAUUUAAGUAUGGACUCCAUCAUCAACUGUUGUUGUAGAAAUUGUACUUGUGAGAAAAUGGGUGCUUCUACUGAUGGAUUGUACAUGCAUUAGUGUGGGUAUAGGAAUGAGAUGGGAGCCUGAUGCAUCUAUUGUUGAAUGCAUACCAACAGAUAAGUUCAACAAAGAAAUGAGACACUUGGGUGAGUUAGGAAUGGUCAAAUAUGAUCCAUAAGCACAUGAAGAUUCUGGAAUGGGAAGCCUUCUCCCAACCUUGGUUGUAGAGAAUAAAUUCCUCUGAUACAUGUCAAGAAUUAGCAGACCUGAUUGUAGGCCGUCAUUCUAGGUGGUCACCAAAGAUGAUAAUACAAAAAAGGACCUGGACUAAUGGUGAGAAGCAGUGCAAGUGUCUUGCAAAAUACAUUGAAAAUGACAUUAGAGGGUGCUUCCACAGUUUGGACAUAGUCUCUGCUUUUGCUGGCAUUCAAAGAUUUCUAACUGGAUUCUGUCAAUGACCAAUUUGAUUUGUGCAUAAUCUUGUAUUUCAGUCAUCAACUAGGAAACAAGGAGAGGAGGAAAGAAAUUCUGGAAGCUCUACCAUUGAUUUUCGGCUAGGUGUUUAAGGCUUUUUUCUUUUUUCUUUUUUCUUUUUUUGGGUGGGGGAUAUUUUUUGUUGAAACUCUAUCAAGUGACCAAAAAAAAAGGAAAACAUAAAUUUUGUAUCCUUGGGCAUUGACUUGGGUGGUAUAGAGGUAGGUAAAUAUGCUUUGUUUAUUAGCAAUGUGAUAUCAUGUUUUAGUUUCUUGAUCUUCUUGAGGCAUUUUUAUGUGAAGUAUGUUGAUGAACUACAUUCUGGGAGAAAUAAGAUUCAGUUAAGCCUAUUGGACUUAUGUUUAUGCUA